AUCACCGGGCUGCCCUAGCAGUGGUUUCAUCACUGAGACAUCCUAAAUUACAAACGUACAUCAUGCAGAAAUAUUUUUAAUUUGAGACUAAUUUAUGAUCGGCUGAGAGCUGGAUAGAAAUGCUGCUCCUCAAAAAAAAAAAAGACUUCUUAAUUCCAAUCCCAUUGUGUUAUUUUUCAUCUUUCUUCGCCAGUUUAACUGAGAUAACCAUUCAAUUAUAAAAAAACAUGCACGGGAGGUUGAUUGAAUGUUGGAAAUUGCAAGCGGCUCAGAGAAUUUAUGGAUGGACAGUAGGUAACUAUUGCUCAGACAUUUCUUCUUUGGUACAGGCAAAAAAA